UUACGGCCACAUCAUGUUGAAACACUAGUUCCCGUAAAAUCACUGAAGUUAAACAAUGUUAACCUGGGUCAGUACUUUGAUGGGUGACCACUUGGGAAAAAACCCAGGUACUGUAA